rnacentral:misc_RNA from 1 species
GUGAAUCAUCAAAUUUUUGAACGCAAAUUGCACUCUCUUCGGAGAGUAUGCCUGUUUGAGGGUCAGCCUAAAAAAAAAUCGACAUAGUUGCUGUUUCGCGGUGACUUUUGUCGGGAAUUGGGUCCUCUUAAAACUUUGGGUUUUACGCGGCUUAUAAUGUUCUUUACAAUUCUACGAACGUUUCU